UCUCUCGAAGCGAUGUCGUCUCUCUCUUCUUCCUCUCUUCGCAUCCUCUCUCCCAAAUUCCCAUCAAAGCCCUCCUGUUUCCUUUGGAAAAGCCUCUCCUUUCUUCCCUCAAGAUCCCUCCUUUUAUCCUCCCCCAUCUCCUUCCAACCCCUCCCCAGAUCCUCCCCCCUCCCCCAACCCCUCCGUGCCCGGCCGCAACAGCGGGAGGAGGAGCAGACCGCCGGCGUCGACCUCUCCCUCCUCCCUCCCAAGCUCCGGGACAUCAUCGCCCUCUUCCAGUCCGUCUCCGAGCCCAAGGCCAAGUACCAGCAGCUCCUCCACUACGGGGCGCGGCUGCCCCCCCUCGACCCCGCCUUCAAGAACGAGGAGCACCGCGUGCGCGGCUGCGUCUCCCAGGUCUGGGUCCGCGCCUUCAUCGACCCCGAGGACGCCGCCGCUGUCCGCUUCGAGGCCGAUUCCGACUCCGUCCUCACCAAGGGUCUGGCCGCCCUCCUCGUGCUUGGCCUCUCGGGAUCCCCUGCCCCUGUGAUCGCCCGCGUGCCCCCUGACUUCGUUCACCUCCUCGGCCUCCGGCAGAGCCUUACGCCAUCUAGGAAUAAUGGCUUCCUCAACAUGCUCAAGCUCAUGCAGCAGAAAGCCCUCCAGCUGCAUGCAGAUGCUGCUGAUUUCAAGGAUAGUGAGGCUCUCGGAACCGAUAGAUUAGACACAAAUACAAAAGAUGAUUUUUUUGAGGGAAAAGAUCCGAUUUUGGGUGGAAAAGCCAAUGAAAUGAGCACAGGUCCCGACUCAGUUGUUAAUGGUGGCAGAAAUUCACCAGGUUAUCAUGCUUCAGAUGUAGAAGAGAGAUUGGAAGAAGAUAGGGAUGCUGUUGAUAUGACUCGGAUAAGUCCACAAGCUGCAUCCGGUGGGAGAAGGGAGAGGAUGAUCGAGAGAUUGGAGAGAGGGCUAUGUCCGGUGUCAUUAGAGGUGGAGGACAUAUCUCAUCUCCACGCAAGCCAUGCUGCAGUUAGGGGGAGCGCUGGUGGAGAGACUCAUUUCAACGUUAGGGUUAUCUCAAGGGAGUUUGAAGGGAAGAGUUUGGUGAAGAGGCACAGGCUUGUUUAUGAGCUUUUGCAAGAGGAGUUGCAGAGUGGAUUACAUGCUCUCUCUAUUGAUGCAAAGACUCCAUCUGAAGCGCAAUCUAGUUAAAGAAGAAUUAGUUGUGACAAGGUUACGCCUGGUGAAACUGAGAAGGCCCUACCUGUUAGAAAUUGCUGGCAAGGCUGAGAGAUGCUACCAGAUUAUGCAGUUCGAUACUGUUUGUCAAAGGAGGAGUGCAGCUUGCAACUGUCCACAUUGAGUUGAAUGUCUCGCCUUGAACUCAUUGAUCCUUCAAUUCCAACAAAGAAAUCACAAUCAAACUGUAUAAGAUAGACUGCUUGCACCUGCCUUGGAGGUUCUUAUGGAAGUGAAGAACCCAACCGAAGAGCAGAAGCUGCAGAAAGUUCACUUUAUUGAGAGAGAAGAUGAUUUGGAACCUAAAUUUCGACCUGAUGCUGAUUUGGAUCCAAUAUAAGUAGACGCUGUAACGAUGAUCAGUAUUUGAAACCUUCAUUGGAAGGAGCUUCUUAUUUUCUUGAAAUCUCUUUGGAGAUUUGUGUUCAUCAUCCUAGGCUAGAAAUCUACAAAUGUACAAACAGUCCAUAUGACUUGAUAAUUCAGUCAACUCAACCUAUGCAAUUGUGCAUGUAAAACAUCUUGUUCUUUUAUGUCCCAAGAUGAUGUAGACCAUCUUUUACAUUUGAGCUACUCAUUGUAUCAAUGUGGAUUAGAAUCCAGCUUUGAUGUGAAUUUUGUGGACUUGAAAUAUGAGUCAAAUGUCAUGCUUUAUAGCCUCA